CUCUCCGUUCUUUGUGAUGGGAAAGAAUCCCUGUUGGGAUCUACCAGAACAGAGGCAACCAUCUUGGUGUAAACCAGGCUGCCAUAAAGUUUUCGACAACCGGUAGAAGUACCAGGCUGUAUCAAAUUCUGGAGUGAAACGAACGCAUGUCGUGGUUUCUGUAUGUCCGAAUCCUAUCCAUCCCUUGAUGAUAUCCUCCAUAUUGCACCAAAACAGAAGAUUACGACAGCCGGAAGGUGUUGCGUGAUGAAACCUAAAAUG